GAUGAACGCUGGCGGCGUGCCUAAUACAUGCAAGUCGAGCGAACGGACGAGAAGCUUGCUUCUCUGAUGUUAGCGGCGGACGGGUGAGUAACACGUGGAUAACCUACCUAUAAGACUGGGAUAACUUCGGGAAACCGGAGCUAAUACCGGAUAAUAUUUUGAACCGCAUGGUUCAAAAGUGAAAGACGGUCUUGCUGUCACUUAUAGAUGGAUCCGCGCUGCAUUAGCUAGUUGGUAAGGUAACGGCUUACCAAGGCAACGAUGCAUAGCCGACCGGAGAGGGUGAUCGGCCACCCUGGAACUGAGACACGGUCCAGACUCCUACGGGAGGCAGCAGUAGGGAAUCUUCCGCAAUGGGCGAAAGCCUGACGGAGCAACGCCGCGUGAGUGAUGAAGGUCUUCGGAUCGUAAAACUCUGUUAUUAGGGAAGAACAUAUGUGUAAGUAACUGUGCACAUCUUGACGGUACCUAAUCAGAAAGCCACGGCUAACUACGUG
rnacentral:rRNA from 1 species